rnacentral:rRNA from 1 species
UGGGGAAUAUUGCGCAAUGGGGGAAACCCUGACGCAGCAACGCCGCGUGAAGGAUGAAGGCUUUCGGGUUGUAAACUUCUUUAGCCAGGGACGAAGAAUGACGGUACCUGGAAAAUAAGCCACGGCUAACUACGUGCCAGCAGCCGCGGUAAUACGUAGGUGGCAAGCGUUGUCCGGAUUUACUGGGUGUAAAGGGCGUGUAGGCGGGUUAUUAAGUCAGAUGUGAAAUUCCGUGGCUCAACCACGGCGCUGCAUCUGAAACUGAUGAUCUUGAGUACUGGAGAGGGAAGCGGAAUUCCUAGUGUAGCGGUGAAAUGCGUAGAUAUUAGGAGGAACACCAGUGGCGAAGGCGGCUUUCUGGACAGUAACUGACGCUGAGGCGCGAAAGCGUGGGGAGCAAACA